GAGGGUAGAGCUCAGGGGGGGAGGGCAUGCUUACCAUGCACAAGGUCCUGGGUUCAAGCCCCAGUACCUCCA
rnacentral:tRNA from 1 species